AGGGAGGCAAAGCCGCGAGGCAGAGNAAACCCCUAAAAGCCAUCCCAGUUCGGAUUGCAGGCUGCAACCCGCCUGUAUGAAGUUGGAAUCGCUAGUAAUCGCGGAUCAGCAUGCCGCGGUGAAUACGUUCCCGGGCCUUGUACACACCGCCCGUCACACCAUGAGAGUCGGGAACACCCGAAGUCCGUAGCCUAACCGCAAGGAGGGCGCGGCCGAAGGUGGGUUCGAUAAUUGGGGUGAAGUCGUAACAAGGUACC
rnacentral:rRNA from 1 species